rnacentral:misc_RNA from 1 species
ACACCUCAACUCUCAUGGCUUGCCAUGAUGAGCUUGGACUUUGGGGGUCUUGCUGGCCUGGGGUCGGCUCCUCUCAAAUCAAUUAGCUUGCCAGUGUUUGGUGGCAUCACAGGUGUGAUAACUAUCUACGCUUGUGGUUUUCCACUGGGUAACCUUCUGCAAUGAAGGUUCGCUGGGGCUCAUAAAUGUCUCUCCUCGGCGAGGACAGCUCUCUGAAC